rnacentral:rRNA from 1 species
GCUUGCUUUUCCUGAUGACGAGUGGCGGACGGGUGAGUAAAGUUUGGGAAGCUACCUGAUAGAGGGGGACAACAGUUGGAAACGACUGCUAAUACCGCAUACAGCCUGAGGGUGAAAGCAGCAAUGCGCUAUCAGAUGCGCCCAAAUGGGAUUAGCUAGUAGGUGAGGUAAAGGCUCACCUAGGCGACGAUCUCUAGCUGGUCUGAGAGGAUGAUCAGCCACAUUGGGACUGAGACACGGCCCAGACUCCUACGGGAGGCAGCAGUAGGGAAUAUUGCACAAUGGAGGAAACUCUGAUGCAGCCAUGCCGCGUGUGUGAAGAAGGCCUUCGGGUUGUAAAGCACUUUCGGAGGGGAGGAGAAUGACGUUACCCUCAGAAGAAGCACCGGCUAACUCCGUGCCAGCAGCCGCGGUAAUACGGAGGGUGCAAGCGUUAAUCGGAAUAACUGGGCGUAAAGGGCAUGCAGGCGGUUAAACAAGUAGGAUGUGAAAUCCCCGGGCUCAACCUGGGAGCUGCAUACUAAACUGUUUAACUAGAGUAUUGCAGGGGGAGACGGAAUUCCAGGUGUAGCGGUGGAAUGCGUAGAUAUCUGGAAGAACACCAAAGGCGAAGGCAGUCUCCUGGGCAAAUACUGACGCUCAUAUGCGAAAGCGUGGGUAGCAAACAGGAUUAGAUACCCUGGUAGUCCACGCCGUAAACGAUGUCAAUUAGGAGCUUGUGCGAUAGUAUGGGUUCCGCAGCAAACGCGAUAAAUUGACCGCCUGGGGAGUACGGCCGCAAGGUUAAAACUCAAAUGAAUUGACGGGGGCCCGCACAAGCGGUGGAGCAUGUGGUUUAAUUCGACGCAACGCGAAGAACCUUACCUGACCUUGACAUAGUGAGAACCUCUCUGAAGGGGAGAGGGUGCCUUCGGGAGCUCACAUA